UGUACAUUAACGUAGUGAAUCCAAUGUUACUACAUAGUAGCGUAGAAUAACCACAGACAGUUUUGUCUUUUUUAGUUUAUUUCCCCUAUAAAACCUAUGUUUUCAUACAACCAAGAGCUUCAAAGACUAGCCUCUUUUAGACCAGUAGCUAGUCUACCACGACAUAUAUCGUACUUUCAUUUUUCAAAGGCCGGUUUUAGAUAUGACGCAGACCAAAGCAAUAACGCCACUUGUUGUGAUUGCCGUCAUUACAUUCCAAUAGCUAAUGUCAACCGAUCUCUAUCAAACGCUUACUAUCAUGCUGACGGAUGUUCUUUUGUGAAAGCAGACGAUUCAUUUGAGUUUGUCGGGUGGAAACAAUCAAAUAUAAAUGGCGACUUUCAAGCUUUUACACUUGUUCUUCUGUUCUCACACUUACAGAAGGACCUGACUAUACGAACUUGUUUCAAAGAUUAUAUUCAUUCUUGGAUUACCCAUUUCCGGAUGAACGUACAGAACCAUCAAUUCUAGCAGAAAAUGGAUUCUAUUUUGUUGGGCCAUGUAAAACUAUUCAGUGCUAUCUUUGCGGAACAAUUCUUCAGCUGCACGAAGAGAUGUCCCAAAAUUUCCUUCAAUAUUUCCAAUGUGCACGUUGUCGUUACAUCUCAGAAACAACUCCUUUUCAAGAUGAGAAUUUAAACGAUAGUCGUAGAGGACUUUUAUCCAUCCCACGUAGCCAGAAUCACUCAACAGAGUUUCAACGCCUUUACAGCUUCCGUGAUGGAUGGCCAGAAAAUUUUCAGCUGCCUCCCAAGCUUCUUGCU
rnacentral:sRNA from 1 species